rnacentral:rRNA from 1 species
AGUGAACGCUGGCGGUAGGCCUAACACAUGCAAGUCGAACGGCAGCACAGUAAGAGCUUGCUCUUACGGGUGGCGAGUGGCGGACGGGUGAGGAAUACAUCGGAAUCUACUUUUUCGUGGGGGAUAACGUAGGGAAACUUACGCUAAUACCGCAUACGACCUACGGGUGAAAGCAGGGGAUCUUCGGACCUUGCGCGAUUGAAUGAGCCGAUGUCGGAUUAGCUAGUUGGCGGGGUAAAGGCCCACCAAGGCGACGAUCCGUAGCUGGAGUGAGAGGAUGGUCGGCCGCACGGGAGCUGAGACACGGUCCAGGCUACUACGGGAGGCAGCAGUGGGGAAUAUUGGACAGCGGGCGCAAGCCUGAUCCAGCCGUACCGCGUGUGUGGAGGAGGCCUUCGGGUUGUAAAGCCCUUUUGUUGGGAAUGAAAAGCAGCAGGUUGAUACCCCGCGGUUGUGACGGUACCGAAAGAAGAAGCACCGGCUAACUUCGUG